CGCCGACGUGAGCCAGGAAUAACUCCACCACUACGUAGAUCUGAAUCCCAUCCCAAGCAAUGCCGCCUGAUGCCCGUUUUCAUAACACAGACCCCUGAGCCAUCGCUGUGCAGGUGGAGCAGCACCAGAGCUGGGGGGGAAGGAGAUGCCGGGGCUGGGCAAAUUCGCCACAGGAGAGCUGGAUACAGCCAACAGGGUAAGGAGAGACCUCUCAAGAGAGAGCGGCAGGAGGCAUUGCGAGCAGAUCUUUGAUGCUGCAGAUCAGAGAUGGACCCUGGUGAAAACUGGAAGCUGGAUGAAACCAACUGGUUGUCUCAUGGUGGGAUCCAUCCCUUUGCCAGUGUGAAAGGAGACAAUGAGCUCUCCGAAGGUGCCCCAGCCCUCUUUGCUCUGGAUCAGCUGGGGCAAUGAAUUCUCCAUCCUUGGAGAUAUUCAAAAGCUGUCUGGACACGGUUCUGGGCGACCAGCUCUAGGCAGUCCUGCUUGAGCAGAGGGCUUGGACCAGAUGACCUCCAGAGGUCCCUGCCAACCUCAACCAGUCUGUGACUCUGCGACUUCCCCGCCGCUCUGAAAACUCACCUUGUCACCAGUAAGGAUUCUCCGCAUGCACCCACUGGGCUGCUCACCACAUGCGGCACUAGUGGAAACUUCGGGUAGGAGGGUAAAAACUGCAGGAGCGCAGAAUGGUGAUUUUUAUCAUGUGUAAUUAUCUCUCCUGUAAACCUCUGCUGCUAAGAGCCAGGAUCUUGAAAAAAUUCCUGUAAAUACAAAAAUAAACUGUAUGAUGCCUCGCUGGUGCUUGAAGGGGUGGC